AUUGAACGCUGGCGGCAGGCUUAACACAUGCAAGUCGAACGGACUACUUCGGUAGUUAGUGGCGAACGGGCGAGUAAUGCCUAGGAAUCUGCCGUUUAAUGGGGGAUAACGUUCCGACAGGAACGCUAAUACCGCAUACGCCCUACGGGGGAAAGCAGUGGAUCUUCGGACCUUGCGUUAAACGAUGAGCCUAGGUCGGAUUAGCUAGUUGGUGGGGUAAAGGCUCACCAAGGCGACGAUCUGUAGCGGGUCUGAGAGGAUGAUCCGCCACACUGGAACUGAGACACGGUCCAGACUCCUACGGGAGGCAGCAGUGGGGAAUAUUGGACAAUGGGCGAAAGCCUGAUCCAGCCAUGCCGCGUGUGUGAAGAAGGCCUUUUGGUUGUAAAGCACUUUAAGCGAGGAGGAGGGCACUUGGGCUAAUAUCCUAAAGUGUCGGACGUUACUCGCAGAAUAAGCACCGGCUAACUCUGUGCCAGCCGCCGCCGUAAAAC
rnacentral:rRNA from 1 species